rnacentral:rRNA from 1 species
AGAGUUUGAUCCUGGCUCAGGAUUAACGCUGGCGGCAUGCCUAAUACAUGCAAGUCGAACGAAAAAUAUAGAAGUGCUUGCACAUUUAUAUUUUUAGUGGCGAACGGGUGAGUAAUAUAUAGAUAACCUGCCUUAAAGUUGGGGAUAACAGAGGGAAACCUCUGCUAAUACCGAAUACAAUAACUAGACGCAUGUUUAGUUAUUAAAAGGGGCUCCAAAGCCCCGCUCUAAGAGGGGUCUAUAUCGCAUUAGCUAGUUGGUAAGAUAACAGCCUACCAAGGCGAUGAUGCGUAGCUGUACUGAGAGGUAGAACAGCCACAUUGGGACUGAGAUACGGCCCAAACUCCUACGGGAGGCAGCAGUAGGGAAUUUUCGGCAAUGGGGGGAACCCUGACCGAGCAAUGCCGCGUGAUUGAAAAAGAUCUUCGGAUCGUAAAGAUCUGUUAUUAGGGAAGAAUGGAAUUGAUAGGAAAUGAUCAAUUUAUGACGGUGCCUAAUGAGGAAGCCCCGGCUAACUAUGUGCCAGCAGCCGCGGUAAUACAUAGGGGGCAAGCGUUAUCCGGAAUUAUUGGGCGUAAAGGGUGCGUAGGCGGCUAUUUAAGUUUAAGGUGUAAGUGCAAGGCUCAACCUUGUGAGGCUUUAAAAACUGGAUAGCUUGAGGUAGACAGAGGCAAGUGGAAUUCCAUGUGUAGCGGUAAAAUGCGUAAAUAUAUGGAGGAACACCAGUGGCGAAGGCGGCUUGCUGGGCCUAAACUGACGCUGAGGCACGAAAGCGUGGGGAGCAAACAGGAUUAGAUACCCUGGUAGUCCACGCCGUAAACGAUGAGUACUAAGUGUUGGAGAAAUUCAGUGCUGCAGUUAACGCAAUAAGUACUCCGCCUGAGUAGUACGUGCGCAAGCAUAAAACUCAAAGGAAUUGGCGGGACCUCGCACAAGCGGUGGAUCAUGUUGUUUAAUUCGAGGAUACGCGAAGAACCUUACCAGGCCUUGACAUCCCUUGCGAAGCUAUAGAGAUAUAGUAGAGGUUAUCAAGGAGACAGGUGGUGCAUGGUUGUCGUCAGCUCGUGUCGUGAGAUGUUGGGUUAAGUCCCGCAACGAGCGCAACUCUUAUCGUUAUUUGCCAUCAUUAAGUUGGGCACUAUAACGAGACUGCCAGUGAUAAAUUGGAGGAAGGUGGGAAUGACGUCAAAUCAUCAUGCCCCUUAUGGCCUGGGCUACAAACGUGAUACAAUGGUUGGAACAAAGGGAGGCAAAGCUGUGAAGCCAAGCGAACCCCAUAAAAACAAUCUCAGUUCGGAUUGAAGUCUGCAACUCGACUUCAUGAAGUCGGAAUCGCUAGUAAUCGUAGAUCAGAACGCUACGGUGAAUACGUUCUCGAGGUCUGCACACACCGCCCGUCAA